UUUUUGUGAUCCUGGAUCUGGGCUUGAAGGAGGUCUUCUGACCCAGAGAGAGCUGCUUCACAGAGGAUUCACUGCUGGAUUCUCAGGAUUUGCAGAUAAGGUUUGGGCUCAAGGUCUUCACCCAAAAAGACUUGGAAAUGAACUCCCCAAAUGCCAGACCUGAGCCAGACUUGUCUAUUAUUCAUCAGCGUUCAGACAGAGCAGAGUUUCCUGGGGAUUCAUGAACUGACGCUAAGAUGCAUCUGAAUGAGUUGAGCCAAGAUUCAGUGUGAAUCCAGGGUUUGGGCUCGAGGUCUUCACCCAAAAAGACCUGGAAGUCAACUCUCCCAGAAUGAAGAAAUGCCAGAUCAGAGCCAGACUGGUCUAUUAUUCAUCAGUGUUCAGGCAGAGCCGAGGCAACUUUUAGAGUGCAUCUGCCAACGAAUGCAAGAGAAAAACACAAGAAGACACAAGGUUUCCUGGGGUUUCAUGAACAGACACAAAGACACAUCUGAAUAAGUUGAGCCAAGAAUCAGUGUGAGUCCAGGUGGAGUCUCACCUUAUCCCUUCUUCCCUGUAUGGUUACAGCAGUAGUUUCUCUGUCUCUGAUGCUGAGAUCAUGGACUUCUAACCAGCCCACAGUGGUUUUGUUAUUUUCUAAUGUUUGGUGGCGCAUGCCAUAUAAUGAGACACAAAUCAACUCAGUUUCAUUUGCAUUGUUUCAGUGGCACAGAGGAAGGGUUUUGCUUAUAUAAAUAUAGAUGGAUGAGAGUGAAAGCUUCAGUGACAGGUUUGUUCCACUGUGGUGGUGAUAGACAAAUGAGGACAGAGUCAAAAAAACAGUAGCUUGCUUUUCUUUCACUGGCACAGACGUAUGAUGAUAAGGUGCCUCGCAUUCAGCAUGGCCAUUGUAUCCUGUUCAAACGGAGGGACUAUCAAACCACUACCCACUGCUGCUACGUGGGAGUUGAAACAAAUGCACCCUUUGGGCUGGAGCUAGCAGACAGACCGUAAACACUGCAGGAGCUGCUUUCAUGGGACAGAGCAUGAAUCAGAGUUCAGUGGAAAGAUAUGACAUCUUAACUGAGAAGAGUAACCUGCUAAUGAAAGACCAAAAAGGGACUAAGAGCUCUGAAGUGACUGAAGCUAUUAAACUGUUGAGCUAUUUUUACACAGCACUGUUUUAACUGUUCGAUUGAUUAGCUUUGAUGCUGCUCUAAAGCAGCUGAGAGACCUUUUAAUACACGGACAUACACCAUAUAACAACUGUUACUGUAUUAAUAUAUUGUUUUCAUCAGUAGUGUUUGUAGACACAUAACAACAGCUAGUCUGAGAUACGUUUGAAUCAGUUCACCUUCUUGGUUUAAUGUUACAGGUUUUAAAUAUGAACAUCUUUUUAAGAAUAUUCUAAAAUGUUUAUAUUAAAAUCUAAUCAGGUGUUCUUCAGGUGGAGCAGAUCUGUUUUGAAGUCGUCUAAACUCUGACACAGCAGCUGUGAAGUCUCUGUGAGCGUCCAUGUUUCUACAACUUCUCAACUGGAACGACGUCAGAGGAGACGUCUCUCCCAGUUCAGACCUCUGAUGGAAAUUGAAUGCAGCAUUACCCUGACUCUGUGUCAGCUUGUUGUGGUUCGAUGGUGUGAAUUCAUCAAAGUUGAACUGGUUCAUACAGCAAAUUCACUGUUUGCUGCAGCUUCCUUAUGAUGAUUUGACGUGCUUUAGCAGUUCUGCCAACAUGCUAACAUGCUAAGAGUCAAGUAGGGCUGUUCGAUGUGCCAAAAAUAUUAUCUCAAUAAAAUGUCUCAGUCGUAUUUCUUUCAAGUUUAAAGGCUGACCUCUGUUCCUGCAAU